GUCGACUCAACCUAUCCUAUUGGUAGCAUAAGCUAAUAAGGGUUUGACUGUUCGUCAAUUAAAAGGUUACGUGAGUUGGGUUCAAUACGUCGUGAGACAGUAU
rnacentral:ncRNA from 1 species